UCAGCGACUGCCUCCACCCUGCUGCAGCAGGAAACCGAGGUGGAUUCUCCCUCUGAAUGUGGGACAGCAGGUGCAACUGGACAUGAGGGUGCUGGAAACUAAGCAAAAAGCAAGAGUUGUCAGAUCCCGAGUUUGCAGGUGGAAAUGAUAACGUCUUCAUUGGAUGGUGACUUUCCAGGCCUUGCAAUCAUUAUAUGGCUUUGAUUUCCCCCUUGACUUUAUAAGAACAGUGCUAUUGGUCUCUU